GAAUAUAGGAAGAGGUAGAGAAUUGCAGGAGAACCAUGGGGUCGAUGAUGGUGUCAACCAAUAUGAAGAUCUCAGGCAGCAAGUGUUUCCGAAGGGCAAGGACAAGGGCAUCGGUGAACAAUAUCUGGAAAAAAGGGAGUCUCUCACUCCUAUCUACAGUGAGGUUCAUUAUCAUUGUCCAGGCCAGGCCAUUAAGAUCAUUCGAUUGGAGGAAGCAACAGGAUCUGGCACUCCCAGGACACCUGUACUCUGAGCCUGAAGCCUGCAGAUCCCCGCCUUUCCCAGUGCUGGUUCAGUUUCCGCUGCCCCUAGUCUGUGUUACUCUGAUCUCAUAGCUACAGUUCUACAGUGUACCCAUGGCCUGUUCGCAUUCUGUGACACCUCCCAAAGAU
rnacentral:lncRNA from 1 species